rnacentral:pre_miRNA from 1 species
AAACAGCCCCCUAUGUUUUGAUUCUUUGGUAGUUUUGGACCCCCAAGGCAAAAAAAAAAAAAAAAAAAAAAAAUUGACACGUGGCACCUCACUUAGGGUGCCACGUCAGCGUUGACCGAGUCAACAAUGGACUGGGGGUCCAAAACUGCUAAAGAAUCAAAACAUAGGGGGCUGUUU